rnacentral:rRNA from 1 species
UACGAAGGGGGCUAGCGUUGCUCGGAAUCACUGGGCGUAAAGCGCACGUAGGCGGAUUGUUAAGUCAGGGGUGAAAUCCUGGAGCUCAACUCCAGAACUGCCUUUGAUACUGGCGAUCUCGAGUCCGGGAGAGGUGAGUGGAACUGCGAGUGUAGAGGUGAAAUUCGUAGAUAUUCGCAAGAACACCAGUGGCGAAGGCGGCUCACUGGUCCGGUACUGACGCUGAGGUGCGAAAGCGUGGGGAGCAACAGGGAUUAAGAUACCCAGAGUCCCA